GCUGCCGGGCGACCCCCAGGCGGGGGCGGGUUGGCCGGCCCGAGUCUGCCCGAGGCUUCCCGGAACAAUAAGCCUCCGGCCUGAGCGCCGUGGACCCGCCCGGGACUCCCAGUGGAGGCGCUGCCGCGACCUCUCCCUCAAGCCCAGAAAGGCGGCCGGGGACUGAGGCGUGACCCGGCCCCGGGCUGUUGGCAGGCGACGUCGUGGGCCCGAGCCCGCCGGGACUCUAACCUUCCUGCCCCGCCGACCGUAGCACCGACGUCCGCGGCCGCGCCGACGACGGCCCCUCCCCCGGGCCCCGGGACUCUGAGAAACUCCUGAAGUGUUCACGUUGGAUUUUUCUGUCAAGAGUACAUUGUUGAGCAGCUGAUAGGCUGCUGACAUCCAGGGGGAAAAGGAAUCAUAUGGGAGCACCCAGGAGGCUUCAGAGAAUGGCUAAAGCUCUGUUUCUUAAAUUGGUGAAUCACAGAAUUUAGAUUUAGGAGGAACCCAGAGGCCUCAGAGUCCUGUCUUCCUGUCUUCCUGGUUUGAGGGCUUCUUUCACAUGGAUCUUCACUGGGGCUGCUCAGACAUGGCUUGCAUCCUCCAGGGACUGGGGGCCCAAUUUGCCCCAAGACCAUCCAUUCCAGUGUUUUCAGAGCCUCUCAUUGAUGCUGGUCACCCUCCCCUGGGCUAAAACUGUCCAGCUAAAACUCUGCCUCCAGCCCCCAACAUGAAGUUCCAAGUGCAGCAUGGCAGACGUGGUAUACAGUGGGACUACUACUUCCCUGACCCAAGACGCUUGACAUCCAGUAACACCACCCACAAUGACACCAGCCUGUGCUCUACCCCUAUACUGUGUUGCCUCAGAAAAGAGCCUGCUAUCAAAAGAGUCAAGUCCAGGAGUGCCAGGCUGGCUUAGUAGGUUGAGCGUCUGACUUCAGCUCAGUCAAGUCCAGAGUGAGGCUCCCCAGGCCCAACUGAUGGAAGAGCAAGUGGAAUGGAACCUCCAUGUGAUGCCAGAGGACACAACAACAGAGACGUCUGAGCCCUCCAGGUUAAAGAUCCUGGAGGAGAGGGAAGGACUACCCAGAGUCCUUUGUCCUAUCUUGAAUCUCUGCAUUUCUGAAAGAAACUUUGGGUGCUAUAAUAGUCCAAUCUUAUCCUUUUCAUUAUACUUUUAUAACAUAUAUCAUUAAAAAUUCUAUCAAUUAUUUUAA